UAGUUAUAGGACAGAGAGGAAAGGGGCAGAGGGAGAAAAACCCGAAGUCUGAGAAUCUGGAUUGCAGAAGACUACCGAGUUCGUGGGAGAAGGGAGAGAAAACAAGGAUGAAAACCGAAAGGGGAAGAGGCAUGAAAUGUUGUCAAAUGUCAAAAAGGCAUUUGGAGAGAAGUUGGGAAUUGCAUUAAGAAAACCACUGCAAAUCUCAUUUCAGACCAUUUAGAGAUAUGCCCCCUGGGAACUGCGAGCUCAGGCUGUUUAGCAUCAAACAAAUGGAUCCACUCCAUCCCUACCCUAAUUAAAUAAAUCAUUCAGUAAUUCCACUGGGUUAAAGAACCAAAAUAUUAAAAACCUUCAGGGCCUGCUCUUGCCAAAUAUGUCAGGGAUCGUGUGUGUGUGUGUGUGUGUGUGUGUGUGUUCUGACACACCACUACUGUUAAAUAGGCAGAGCUAAGACUUAGGGGACUGGCAGAUUAUUGCAAAAAGGGCACGGGGCAGAAGGACUAUGUUGUGAGCCUGCGAAAGAAGUUUGUGUGGGGACUGUGGGCAGUGAACGCGUUGGGAACAAUAUGGAAAACUGGGAGCUGCCUUGGAAUCUACAGGGCCGGGUAAGAGAAUGUCCGAAAGAAAAAUGAGCAGGUGCGGGAUGUGCGCAGAGUCAGAGAAGAGUCCAGGGCGCCCGGAGUGGCUCCAGGAACGACGGAAACCCCUCAAGGCUUUUGGGGGCGGCUGAAGAAAAGAAGAAUGGUAUUCACGCAGUUCCCAUUUUACAGAUGAAAACAAGAGGACUUUUUCUGUGAAGUCAAGAAAGUGGUUACAAUGGUACUUUCAGCCUGUCCGAAUUAUGUAUUGCCCCUCCCCUUUUUAUUAAUAACAUUGAAGUGUGAUGGGAAAACCACUGAAGCCGUCAGUUGAAACCUGCUGGGACUUUUUAGCCAUUCUCUUCAACAUAAAGAAUGGGUGUUUUUGGAGGGGGUGAGAGGAAUGGGGAAAUGUUGUCAAAGAGUACAGUGUUUUAGUUGAGACAGGAAGAAUAUAUUUUGUUGAGAUCUACAGCACAGCAUGGUGACUGUAGUUAACAAUGAAGUAUUGUGUAUUUCAAAAUUGCUAAGACAAUAAAUUUCAAAUGUUCUCACCACAAAAAAGAUAGGUUUUGAGGUGAUGAAUCUAUUAAUUCUCUGGAUUUAAUUAUUCCACAAUGUAUACAUAUAUCAUAACAUCACAUUAUACCUCCGUAAAUACAUACAAUUUUAAUUUGUCAAUUAACAUUUUUUUAAAAGAAUAGUGUGGCCAGUUGGGGAGGUAGUUUUUUUUUUUUUUUCCUCUAGUCUCUACUCAGUCUCCAAGAUCCCAUUCCCCAUAAAGUUCCUGUCACCCAGGUGGAGUGCAGUGGCACAAUCAUGGCUCACUGCACCCUCUCCCUCUUGGGCUCAAGCGAUCCUCCCGCCUACAGGUACAUGCCACCACGCCCAGCUAAUUUUUGUAGUUUUUGUAGACAUGGGGUUUCACCAUGUUGCCUAGGCUGGUCUCGAACUCCUCAGCUCAAUCAAUCUGCCCACUUUAGCCUCCCACAGUGCUGGGAUUACAGGUGUGAGCCACCAAGCCCAACCCAUAAAGUUCCUAACUUUUUAUCUCCCUGGGAGUGCACAGCCUACACACACCAGUUUCUCUUUAGAACAUACUUAAGAGUCUUGGCUUAGCAUCCAACAGACAGAACUUUAACACUUCUAGGGAUCUGUGCACCUGUCUAUGGUGUGGGGUUUUUAAGAUCUCUUUCUAAUGACACUUUAUUUUGCAAAGCAGGACAGUUUCAUUCCCAGAAGAGCAGGUAUGGUAAAUCCUUUGUUCCAGUAACAAAGACAAUGAUCCAAACCCUAAGCCUCAGAGAAGCCCAGAAACUCUCCAGGCCUCCAUCUCUCUGCUCCUAGCACCUGCCUCUCUCUUGACAUCAACAUCAUUCUCCCCUCUCACAGCCCAGCUCCUUCCACAGACCCAGGGAUUAAGCACCAGCACCUCAGACUAGAUUUCAGAGAAUUACCAUUCAAGAGGCAAUCCUCUUCCCUUGGUUCCAAUUUCAAGGUUCUCAAAGACUGGAACAGGGCUAGUUUGAGGCAAUGUGCCCCACCGCAUAGCCAGAAAGAACCUUACAGUGAAAAGGAAAACAAUUCUUCCAAAGUAAGGGGGUGCUGAUCCCCAGAGGGAGGACAGAUGGGCAACCAAACAGUAACCGGGCCACCACGUGCUUCACACUCACUGAUCAAGGAUUUCUAAAACCACUUUUCUUUUCUCUGAAUUUAUAUAGGACUUUGUAUCACUCAUAAAGGAAUGUCUUAUAGGCUGAUAACACCUUUCUAUUCAUGCUUAUACUUAACAUUUAGGCUAGGAUAAUUUCCUAACCUCAGUGUCCUCACUAUAAGAUGGGAAUUAUUAUAAUCCCUACCUCAUAAAUUGUUGGGAGGAUUAAAAUACUUAGUAAAGUGCCUGACUAAUAGAAAGGCAUUCAAUAAAUGUUAGCUAUUCAUGAUGUCAUCAUCAUUAUAUUUACCAUUAUUACUCAUCUCCUGUAUUGCAAGAAUUACAGUUUAUAUUUUCGUAGACCAUCACUGUAGCUAAAGGGUCUUUGGGCCAUAGGUGAUAUUCCAUAAAGGUUGGUUAAAUUGAUCUGUGGUUUUUGACUAUGGAAACUCAGAACUCCCUCAAAAUGUACAAAACAGAUUUACCUGCUA
rnacentral:lncRNA from 1 species